UGUUAGUCUGGUGUGGGACUAGAGGUGUUAGUCUGGUGUGGGACAAGAGGUGUUACAGUCUGGUGUGGGACUAGAGGUGUUAGUCUGGUGUGGGACUAGAGGAGGUGUUAGUCUGGUGUGGGACUAGAGGAGGUGUUAGUCUGGUGUGGGACUAGAGGAGGUGUUAGUCUGGUGUGGGACUAGAGGAGGUGUUAGUCUGGUGUGGGACUAGAGGAGGUGUUAGUCUGGUGUGGGACUAGAGGAGGUGUUAGUCUGGUGUGGGACUAGAGGAGGUGUUAGUCUGGUGUGGGACUAGAGGAGGUGUUAGUCUGGUGUGGGACUAGAGGAGGUGUGGGACUAGAGGAGGUGUGGGACUAGAGGAGGUGUGGGACUAGAGGAGGUGUGGGACUAGAGGAGGUGUUAGUCUGGUGUGGGACUAGAGGAGGUGUUAGUCUGGUGUGGGACUAGAGGAGGUGUUAGUCUGGUGUGGGACUAGAGGAGGUGUUAGUCUGGUGUGGGACUAGAGGAGGUGUUAGUCUGGUGUGGGACUAGAGGAGGUGUUAGUCUGGUGUGGGACUAGAGGAGGUGUGGGACUAGAGGAGGUGUUAGUCUGGUGUGGGACUAGAGGAGGUGUUAGUCUGGUGUGGGACUAGAGGUGUUACAGUCUGGUGUGGGACUAGAGGUGUUACAGUCUGGUGUGGGACUAGAGGUGUUAGUCUGGUGUGGGACUAGAGGAGGUGUUAGUCUGGUGUGGGACUAGAGGAGGUGUGGGACUAGAGGAGGUGUUAGUCUGGUGUGGGACUAGAGGAGGUGUGGGACUGCAACAUGAUGAGAUAUACCCAUGUCUAAAUGAUCUAAUAGUGAGAGAGUCAUCAUUAAAGGAUGUGUUGGAGGAUGUGGUCCACAGCUUGAGUGAAGCUGUCACAGGUCAGGUAUGGUGGAG